rnacentral:rRNA from 1 species
UACGUAGGGUGCAAGCGUUAAUCGGAAUUACUGGGCGUAAAGAGCGCGCAGGCGGUCGUUCAAGUCGAGUGUGAAAGCCCCCGGCUCAACUGGGGAGGGUCACUUGAUACUGAUCGACUCGAAGGCAGGAGAGGGAAGCGGAAUUCCCGGUGUAGUGGUGAAAUGCGUAGAUAUCGGGAGGAACACCAGUGGCGAAGGCGGCUUCCUGGCCUGUUCUUGACGCUGAGGCGCGAAAGCUAGGGGAGCAAACGGGG